rnacentral:SRP_RNA from 2 species
GCUGGGCAUGGUGGCACAUGCCUGUAAUCCCAGCUACUCAGGAGGCUGAGGCAGGAGAAUUGCUUGAACCCAGGAGGCGGAGGUUGCAGUGAGCCAAGAUCAUGCCACUGCACUUCAGCCUGGGUGACAGAGCAAGACUCUGUCUCAA